rnacentral:rRNA from 1 species
AACAUAGGUGGCGAACGUUAUCCGGAUUUAUUGGGCGUAAAGGAUGCGUAGAUGGUGGAACAAGUUACUGGUCGAGGCCAGGCUCAACUUGGCGGAAGCUGGUAAUACUAUUCUACUUGAGGACAGGAGAGGUUGGCGGAAUUCUGUGUGGAGCGGUGAAAUGCGUUGAUCUACAGAGGAACACCAAAAAAGGCGAAGGCAGCCAACUAUUCUGCUCCUGACAUUGAGGCAUGAAAGCGUGGGGAGCAAACCGG